UCCAGAUAAUUCUCUCUUCUUCCUCGCGCCGAGUCUGGGCCUCUUUGGCUUUGUUUCCAGACAUGGGGAAGAAGACGAAGAAGCCAGGAAAAGGCAAAGAGAAAGCAGCGAAAGCUGAGGAAAAGAGAGCUCGCAGAGAGACCAGAACCUCUCACCUGAGGAUGACAUCGAUGCCAUUUUGACCAUAUGGCACUAUCAUGGAGCGUGUCAAGUUGGGAGGGUUGUUGAUAAAGGAUAUGGAGUUCUUGGUAUUGAUUCUCUGAGGGUUAUUGAUGGUUCAACGUUUUAUCACACCCCGGGUGCUAAUCCUCAAGCUACUGUCAUGAUGCUUGGAAGGCGAGUAUACAUAAUCUUCACGAAAAUCUUAUUCUAAUUGCUGCUUAAACCUGCAUUUUGGUUUCGUUUGUUGUGCAUGUGGUGCAGGUACAUGGGGCAAAGGAUUCUGCAUGACAGAUUAGUCCAUGGAUCAAAAAAGAAAAAUUGAUCUGGUCACUUAUGUUUCCUAAAAUUUUAAAAUCUAUAUAGUUGAUGUCUUGUUUAUUUACCUAUCAUCACAUUUGGUGUUGAAUUGAUCAGAUCUGGUAUGGUUCAAGCAAAACUUUCUGUACUCAGCUUGACUAGAUUAGCCUUCCUGUGAUUGAAUAUACACCUUACUAAUAAAACUAAAUUAGCUCUAAAAAUAAUUAGUUAGUUUUUGUUUAUUUUGUUAAGAGCGUAAUUAGGAAGGAAACUAGCAAGGAGGUGAGGAUGACACAACACAACUGCAAGCACUUUCAGAACUUUUGAUCACAUGGGCUGGUUUACUUUUGAUCACAUGGGCUGCUCUAACUUCAUGAAGUCCUUCAGAGAGUGGAAGAAUCUCAUAUGCUAGGAAAGAGCGCUUUCAAGGCUCGGAUAAGGAGGAGAGGAAUCUAGCAGCAGAAUGAGCCCUGGCCCCAACAAAAUCCUUGAAAAGCAGCCCUUGAUGGAUGUUCACAGCAUAAUCCUCAGGAUAUGCCAUGUGUGCUUACUGGUUUUUUUCCAUCUCUUGGAGUCUUUGAGCCCUUAUAUAACCUGUGCCGGGCCAUCAUUGAAAAAGUAUACUUGAAGAAGCCAUACAUACUAGAAGAAGUAUACUUGUCAAGUAAGCAAAGCAGUCAUAGGGCUCCUCUUUCUUGGCAGGCACUGGUGACUGAUGCAGCUACAAAUGUACAAUCACUUUCAUUGACCUGCCAAAGAAGAGUUGCCCUACGAUUGCUUUGGCUUAAUGAAAUUUGCAGCCUGUCUGAUCAUGCAGUAGAGCCCUGUCAUGCAAACCAUAUACGGCAAGGUAUAAUAUUAGGCUAGGCUAGCCAAGGAUAUACAUAGGUUUUGUCAUAUUUGAAAAUAAUGGUAGAGGUAGAGCUUUAAUACUGUUAUUUUUGUUGUACAAAGGUGUUCUGCUUUGUGACUAAGCAAGCAGGCAAAGUGAGUUUACCAUGUGGCUUUGCACAAUGCAGGGAAAUAGUGUGAUUUUGUAUAGGUGGAAGCCAUAUAUACAAGCAAUUACUAAUUUCCCUGAUCCCUUUUGUCAGUUGUGGCCAUAUAGCUUUGACGGAGAGGAUGUUCUUGCUAUGUGCUUAAACAAUGCAUAUAAAAAUAAAACAAUUCUGUAUAAAAGACCAGUAAGUUUCUUUUCUA